GAUGAAGAACGUAGCGAAAUGCGAUAAGUAAUGUGAAUUGCAGAAUUCAGCGAAUCAUCGAAUCUUUGAACGCACAUUGCGCCCCCCGGCAUUCCGGGGGGCAUGCCUGUCCGAGCGACAUUGCACCCCUCGAGCCCGCGCGGGUUUCGGUGUUGGGCCGCCGUCCCCCGGGGGGGGGGACGGGCCCGAAAGGCAGUGGCGGCCCCGGGGCGACUUCCCGCGCGAUCGCAGCACCUCGCGGCCGAAGCGUUCGCCCCGCGGGCCCGCCUGGACCACCAGUGUGACGUACCGGUUGACCUCGGAUCAGGCAGGGAUACCCGCUGAACUUAAGCAUAUCAAUAAGCGGAGGA
rnacentral:misc_RNA from 1 species